rnacentral:rRNA from 1 species
UACGUAGGGGCCGAGCGUUGUCCGGAGUUACUGGGCGUAAAGCGCGCGCAGGCGGCUCGUCAAGCCUGACGUGAAAGCCCCCGGCUCAACCGGGGAACUGCGUCUGAUACUGGGUGGCUUGAAUCCGGGAGAGGGAUGCGGAAUUCCAGGUGUAGCGGUGAAAUGCGUAGAUAUCUGAAGGAACACCGGUGGCGAAGGCGGCAUCCUGGACCGGCAUUGACGCUGAGGCGCGAAAGCCAGGGGAGCAAACGGG